UACGUAGGUGUCGAGCGUUGUCCGGAUUUAUUGGGCGUAAAGCGCCCGCAGGCGGCUUGGCAAGUUCGAGGUGAAAUCUCCCGGCUCAACUGGGAGGGUGCCUCGAAAACUGCCAGGCUUGAGGCAGGGAGAGGGAUGUGGAAUUCCCGGUGUAGUGGUGAAAUGCGUAGAUAUCGGGAGGAACACCAGUGGCGAAGGCGGCAUCCUGGCCCUGUCCUGACGCUCAGGGGCGAAAGCGUGGGGAGCAAACCGG
rnacentral:rRNA from 1 species